rnacentral:rRNA from 1 species
UACGGGGGGAGCAAGCGUUGUUCGGAUUUACUGGGCGUAAAGGGCGCGUAGGCGGUCGUGACAAGUCACUUGUGAAAUCUCCGGGCUUAACUCGGAACGGUCAAGUGAUACUGUCGGACUAGAGUACAGAAGGGGCAACUGGAAUUCUCGGUGUAGCGGUGAAAUGCGUAGAUAUCGAGAGGAACACCUGCGGCGAAGGCAGGUCUCUGGGCCACUACUGACGCUGAGAAGCGAAAGCAUGGGGAGCGAACAGG